UACGGAGGGUGCAAGCGUUAUCCGGAUUCACUGGGUUUAAAGGGUGCGUAGGCGGGCAAGUAAGUCAGUGGUGAAAUCUCCGGGCUUAACCCGGAAACUGCCAUUGAUACUAUUUGUCUUGAAUACUGUGGAGGUCAGCGGAAUAUGUCAUGUAGCGGUGAAAUGCUUAGAUAUGACAUAGAACACCAAUUGCGAAGGCAGCUGGCUACACAAAUAUGGACACUGAGGCACGAAAGCGUGGGGAUCAAACAGG
rnacentral:rRNA from 1 species